rnacentral:rRNA from 1 species
AUACGGAGGGUGCAAGCGUUAAUCGGAAUCACUGGGCGUAAAGCGCACGUAGGCUGUUUGGUAAGUCAGGGGUGAAAUCCCGCAGCUCAACUGCGGAAUUGCCCUUGAUACUGCUGGACUUGAGUUCGGGAGAGGGUGGCGGAAUUCCAGGUGUAGGAGCGAAAUCCGUAGAUAUCUGGAGGAACAUCAGUGGCGAAGGCGGCCACCUGGACCGAUACUGACGCUGAGGUGACGAAAGCGUGGGGAGC